rnacentral:rRNA from 1 species
ACGCACGCUGGCGGCGUGCUUAACACAUGCAAGUCGAACGGAAAGGCCCUGCUUUGUGGGGUGCUCGAGUGGCGAACGGGUGAGUAACACGUGAGUAACCUGCCCUUGACUUUGGGAUAACUUCAGGAAACUGGGGCUAAUACCGGAUAGGAGCUCCUGCUGCAUGGUGGGGGUUGGAAAGUUUCGGCGGUUGGGGAUGGACUCGCGGCUUAUCAGCUUGUUGGUGGGGUAGUGGCUUACCAAGGCUUUGACGGGUAGCCGGCCUGAGAGGGUGACCGGCCACAUUGGGACUGAGAUACGGCCCAGACUCCUACGGGAGGCAGCAGUGGGGAAUAUUGCACAAUGGGCGGAAGCCUGAUGCAGCAACGCCGCGUGCGGGAUGACGGCCUUCGGGUUGUAAACCGCUUUCGCCUGUGACGAAGCGUGAGUGACGGUAAUGGGUAAAGAAGCACCGGCUAACUACGUG